GACGAACCGUGCGAACGUUGUUCGGAAUUACUGGGCGUAAAGCGCGCGUAGGCGGACCUGCAAGUCGGGGGUGAAAGCCCGAGGCUCAACCUCAGAACUGCCUUCGAUACUGCGGGUCUCGAGUCCGGGAGAGGUGAGUGGAAUUCCUAGUGUAGAGGUGAAAUUCGUAGAUAUUAGGAAGAACACCAGUGGCGAAGGCGGCUCACUGGCCCGGUACGUCGACGCUGAGGCGCGAAAGCGUGGGGAG
rnacentral:rRNA from 1 species